UAUAGAUGGAGUUUCACCAUAUUGGCCAGAAUGAUCCUGAUCUCCUGACCUUGUGAUCCGCCUGCCUCAGCCUCCCAAAGUGCUGGGAUUACAGACGUGAGCCACCAUGCACGGCCUGCAAAUUGACAAAGAGACAUACUGAGAGAUUAAGUGACUAAAGCCACAGUGGAAGCACAUUGCAGAUUCAGACUCCAAAACCUGUCAUCUUUCUGCCAGAUCUUGCUGUCUAGAAGGGAGGAUUGGAGGUGAAAAGACCACCUCAGAAGCUGUUGUAACAAUCUAAGCAACAGAAAACCUGUUUUUGUAUUGAAUUGCUUCUUCUUAAAGACCAGCGUCAACCUGAUCAUGCUCCCCUCCAUGUGAAACGGAAUGGGCACGCCACGAUAAAUAGUAAUGAGCCUUUUCGGCAGCCUUCUGUUUCAACAAAAAAACGCUGCUGUUUGGCAUUGAAGUUUGCUUGUGUUUAAGCUCACGGUGGAACAGCCUAGAACCCCUCUCUGUUUGUAACCUGGCUUUAUAAUUUUGUUAUUAUUUAAAGCCUCCCUUUCAGCGAUUUUUUAAAACCAAAAUAUAUGCUGGCUAAUGUCAUCUGGAAACUG